UAGGGAAUCUUCCACAAUGGACGCAAGUCUGAUGGAGCAACGCCGCGUGAGUGAAGAAGGUUUUCGGAUCGUAAAGCUCUGUUGUUGGUGAAGAAGGAUAGAGGCAGUAACUGGUCUUUAUUUGACGGUAAUCAACCAGAAAGUCACGGCUAACUACGUGCCAGCAGCCGCGGUAAUACGUAGGUGGCAAGCGUUGUCCGGAUUUAUUGGGCGGAAAGCGAGCGGAGGCGGAAUGAUAAGUCUGAUGUGAAAGCCCACGGCUCAACCGUGGAACUGCAUCUGAAAAUGUCAUUCUUGAGUGCAGAAGGGGAGAGUGGAAUUCCAUGUGUAGCGGUGGAAUGCGUAGAUAUAUGGAAGAACACCAGUGGCGAAGGCGGCUCUCUGGUCUGCAACUGACGCUGAGGCUCGAAAGCAUGGGUAGCGAACAGG
rnacentral:rRNA from 1 species